rnacentral:rRNA from 1 species
UGGGGAAUAUUGGACAAUGGGCGAAAGCCUGAUCCAGCCAUGCCGCGUGUGUGAAGAAGGUCUUCGGAUUGUAAAGCACUUUAAGUUGGGAGGAAGGGCAUUAACCUAAUACGUUAGUGUUUUGACGUUACCGACAGAAUAAGCACCGGCUAACUCUGUGCCAGCAGCCGCGGUAAUACAGAGGGUGCAAGCGUUAAUCGGAAUUACUGGGCGUAAAGCGCGCGUAGGUGGUUUGUUAAGUUGGAUGUGAAAUCCCCGGGCUCAACCUGGGAACUGCAUUCAAAACUGACUGACUAGAGUAUGGUAGUGGGUGGUGGAAUUUCCUGUGUAGCGGUGAAAUGCGUAGAUAUAGGAAGGAACACCAGUGGCGAAGGCGACCACCUGGACUAAUACUGACACUGAGGUGCGAAAGCGUGGGGAGCAAACA